AACUGGUGUGUGGUGGUAGAAGUCAGGAGGUAUCUUUGGAAGAGAGGGAAGAGCUAGUCAAACCAGAACACGAUUAACGCUUCAGAAGUGUUAAUCAGAUUAACGCUAACAGAAGUGCUUGCUGCGUGCAGGAUGGGAAAUACCAGAUUGGAUGAACGUGCGAGGAAAGCCUGGCGCAGGUGCUUAUCUGAGCUGGGAGGGACGCGCCUGCAAACUUCGGUGGCUGGAGCUGGGAAAGGAGUCUGAGCUGCCUGUCGCUGGGUGACCCUGGGCACGUCCACGGCCACUUUGGAGUUUCCCUCUCUGUGAGGUGGGGCUGACGGAGGGACUGAGGCUUCAGAAAAUCCAGCGCAUUUUCCCAGUUCACAGUCAGGAAGGGCAGGCUUCCAACGCACAUGGAAAUCUGCUGGGGUCCAGGCGUCUGCCCCGGCUCGGGCGUUCUGCGCGGGGGCUGCGUCUCAGGCCAGCCCAUCUCCAGCGGCCACUUCUGUCACGGACGGCCUGCGAGGAAGCCGAGUUUCCAUCUGAGCGUGGUCAUGGAUAUCAGCCCCGGGAGUCGCCAAGAUACAUGAGGGAAGAAAUGAAUUUAAAGGAGCAGGAAGUCAAAACAGCACAAAUGAGGAGGAUAUGACUGAGUUAUCACUGUAUCAAUCAUUUCUUCGUAAUUUUUAAAGUAAAAAGCCUAAACACCACUGUGGUCCAAAUCUAGGAGUACGGCUGAGUGGACUGUGCCCUCUUCUUCCAUGCCCAGGUCACUUCUCCUCGUUCCACCAAAGAUCUGGAGUUUGGACCAGACCAUAGAUUUUACUUAAUACUUUGGAGAAGUUGAAGGAUUUCCAUAUACUUGAAGGUAAGUCUCAAUACAAACAGUGGUUGUGAUGUCACUGCCAAUUUAUAAUAAUGACCUUAAGUUUUGAACAGUGGCUUUUCUUCGAAGGAUGUAUCUUACACAAUGUUAUCUAAAAUUGGAUGUAAUAUUCUACUAAGGGAUUGGAUUGUAAGCAUUUUCAGUGAGUUGUGAGAAAAUAAAUUAAGGAACAUGUUAAGGUUACAGAGACAGGCAAAUCUAGCUUUAAAAACAAGUUGUGUGGGCACUGAAAGGAGCUGGGCACAUUCCUCAGCCCCCGGGCUCGAAACUCCCUGAGCCAAGCACAAACACAUCCCAUCCUCCCAUCCCACCACCAUAUAUCUCUCAAACUCCCUGAGCCCAGUAUAAACACCACCUGGAAAGUCUCCGAUAAGGGGACAGCCGUUCAAGGUUACUGAAAGCGCAGGAGCCAAAAGAAUUUCUUUGUUCCCCUGCAACUUUCGGGCUAUAAAAAGCAAACGCUCGCAUUGUUCGGGGCCCUCUUGUAUACUGUGUAAAGGAGGGACCAGGUUCGAACUUGUAGUAAAGAUCCUUGCCGCUUGGCUUUGACUCUGGACUCUGGUGGUCUUCUUUGGGGAACAAACAGUCUGGGCAUAACAGGCACAAGGCCGGUCUUCUGCCCAAACUCUACCAUCUACCAGGGAAGAACUCAAAAUGAAUUCUCGUCCCAUAUAAGGAAAAGGGAAUGUGGCCAGGUGCAGUAGCUCACGCCUGUAAUCCCAGCACUUUGGGAGGUCAAGGCGGACAGAUCACGAGGUCAGGAGAUCGAGACCAUCCUGGCUAACACAGUGAAACCCCAUCUCUACUAAAAAUACAAAAAAUCAGCCAGGUGUGGUGGUGGGUACCUGCAGUCCCGGCUACUCAGGGGGCUGAGGCAGGAGAAUGGCGUGAACCCAGGAGGUGGAGCUUGCAGUGAGCCGAGAUCGCACCACUGCACUCCAGCCUGGGGGACAGAGCAAGGCUCCAUCACAAAAAAAAGAAAAAGAAAAAAAAAAAAAGGAAAAGGGAAUGCAAACUCACUGCUAGUAGACCUGUCUUGUGACAUCCUACUAUUUAAUAUUAUCUGGCUUUUCCUAUCUAAGCUGUGUGGUAAGGAUUUAAAUAGAAACUAAGUACCAUAACUGUAAAAUAUUUUGAUCAACUCAGAAGCAGGUACUAUUAAAAUCCUAAUGUUACCAUGUGUCAUUAAAAAAAUGCUUAUCCAGGCCUGAGGAUGUCAAAUGUGCAUCCAGGUGUAAGCAGCUCCAUCCCCGCUUGCACUCCAGGGUUGGCAUACUCCCACCGAGCAAAUAAAGCCCACCCUGUACACAGCAGCACAAGGAGACAGCCUUGCACUUGACUGCAACAAUGACCCACGGACUGCAUCAGGGAGGGGAGGUCAGAGGGACAGCUGGAGGUCCUGGGCCUCCAAGGAGAGGCACGGCUGGAGCCCAGCAGAGCGAGUGGACAGUUCCUCUCACGGAAGUAUAUACGUAUGAGAAUUCCACAGAAAGGUGUAUGUUCUCUUCACAAAUCAAAAGAUUAAGAACUUGUGGUGUUUGCUGUAUUUCAGAUAAUAUUCUAAGGGCCUUCAUUAACUUACUGCAAUGUAUAUUCAUUAACAGUAUUAUGAGAUAGAUAUUACUGUCUACAUUUUAUAGAUGAAAAAACGGAAGUCAGGGAAGCUGGUAGACUGCCUAAGGUAACCAAGCUGGUGAGCAUGAGGGCACAGAUUUGAACCUGGGCUGCCUGGCUCCGGGCCGUGCCCUCCCCGUGCACUGUGCAGCCCCACCUGAUGAACAAGAGGUAGAGGCUGGAAGGGAGCUAAGAACAUACACCUAAGGCUGAAAAAGAACUUUGCAUUGCUAGGCAAGUAUAUAAAAUUAACAGUAAGACACGGUGGAUGGCUGGCUGGCUGGGACAGACUCCAUCCCUGUGCCAGGCGGCCUUCUCCACUCCUUGGCUUCAGACAAACUCCGAUCUGAAAUGCUACCAUGUUAUUUUGAGUUCCUGGUCAAAAGAGGAGAAGAAUAUUUAAAGGGAAGAGAAGAAAAAACUCAUGAUCAAACAGUGGAUUGUUAACAUUUUCUUCAUACGCAAAAACUUGAACUUCGCUACUACUCAGAAUGGAUCCAUGAAAAUGCAGGGACUGUCAAACAGAUUAUGUUUUAUCCAGGACAUGUGAUUACAUUUUGAAAUUUGUAUCAUCUGUAUAUAUCAGUGUAAAUCAUUAAAGGGUAAGGAUUUUUUUAUGGAGUGUUUCAGAGUUUUCAGAUCUACAGGAUAAAUUAGGAGAAGAGAAUUAUAAAUUGCCUUUUCUAUGCCAGACAUGUAAGAUAUUUUAACUUCAUUUAUGCCUAUACUGUGACAUGUGAAGAAAGUGUAAAUCCCGCUUUGUUUUUCUUCUUAAGACACUGAGGUAAGUUGCUUGCCUAAGGACAGCUGGCAGCCUGUCAUGGAGCUGGAACUUACAUGCAGGACUCUAUGCCUGCCUCUGAAAUCUCUUUCCACAAACACCAUGGCUUGGGAAGACAGUGGUGGCCAAGGAGAAGGUGGAGCGUUUUUUGUUUUGAGACAAGGUCUCACUCUGUCACCCAGGCUGGAGUACAGUGGCACAAUCACUGCUGGCUCAUCUCCAGUACAGUGGCACAUCUCCCUGGCUCAAGCGAUCCUCCCGCCUCAGCCUCCCAAGAAGCUGGGACCACAGGUGUGCACCACCACA